GUCUUCAGGUCUCGUCUUCUCGACGAAGUCGCCUCCUUCUUCUUCCUCUCCAUUGAGUUCUGCAACGUUUGUUUCAACAGUAUUCAAUUCGAUUUUCAAUUCUGUCGUUACGCUCCGCCCACCUUUCUUCCCUCUCUGUCAUUUAAUUUUAAUAAGAGCGUCCUGUGUAACCGAUUGAGGCUUCCCCUAUAAGUAAGGGUUAUUGGAGAAAUGGAGAUUCACACAGUCGAGAUGUGUGUUUUUGUUACAUUUUGUUUUUAUAGAUAUGAUAGAUUAUUUUGUAUCGUGUUUGUCAUUUUUCGUUUCAUACAUUAUUUUUCUGUUUCGUGUUUCUCAACUUUUAUUUUCACUGAUUUUGUUUUCUCCACAGACUCCCAAUAACAUCAAACAUCAAAGGGUCAUGGCAACCUCCCAGCUGUCACUGUAGUAAGAUCGUAGUCAGUAGCCUUAUUCUUUUUUUUUAUGUAGUAGAGAUGCUUCAUGAUUCUUCUCUGACCAUUGUUCUGUUUUGUAGCAGACAAACAAUGCUCUAUAUACAUAUUCUUUUCUUUUUUUGAGCAAAUGUACAUAUUCUAUUUCAGGUUUGAUUUUCUGUGUUUUAAUUUUACUGGAAUAAGAUUGAGAGAUGAAAAACAUUUGCCUUUGGUUUAGAUACUGAGACCUUCAAUAAGAUUGUGUUUUAAAAAGAAAAGAACUUCAGUAAGACUUUUAUAUUUUUAUUGGUUGAUUUAUUGUUUAGGUAUCAUAACACAGAGCUUUAUCAUCAAUAUCUUCGUAGAAAUUUAGGGAUGAAGUAGCAAUAUAAAUGUUUCGAGUCAUCAUCAGCUUUGAAACUCAAACUUAACAGACGAAAAGCAGAGAGGGGAGUAUUUGAUUUUUCUGUAUUUUCUGUCCCAAUUUCAAAUGAGAUUUUAGGUUCUGCAACUAUGAAUAGCUGAUGGCGUUGGCAAAUAUAAUCACGAAUCACCAGUGAUUGUUAUGGAACGAUAUUCAGUGACCACACCCAGACUACUCAACAGUAAUGGUGAACAAUCGCAUGGAUAAGGGACACAGCCUAUUGCCAGACUCCUUCACAAGAAAUUGGAAGCUGGUGUUCUGCAACUUAGGGUGAUGAUAACCACCAUCAUCAAUCCCAAGUUAGUAGGACAGGUAACCUCAUUCUGGAUAAGAAUGUUAAAUUUAAAACUUGAAAGCCACCGAAAAAGACCCGCACCGCAAGGCUUAGUUUCCUGCAUGAGACACUAAAUUGAAACACCUUUAUUGUUUCCACAAAAAAAGAAACUCUGUCGUUUCCAUCCAUGCUUGCUCUCAGUUCUUUGACUUUAUUAUGUGCAAAUAAGGGGUUGGAGUCUUGGACACUUAGUCCACCAUAAGCUUUUGUCUCACUGUAGGUUUUGUUACUAAGUGGAUUCUUUGACGUUUUAAAUAUAAGUUUUUAUUGGUUUUCAGAGUCUA